rnacentral:rRNA from 1 species
UGGGGAAUAUUGGACAAUGGGGGCAACCCUGAUCCAGCAAUGCCGCGUGUGUGAAGAAGGCCUGCGGGUUGUAAAGCACUUUCGGUAGGGAGGAAGGCACUAUGUUUAAUAUGCAUAGUGAUUGACGUUACCUACAGAAGAAGCACCGGCUAACUCUGUGCCAGCAGCCGCGGUAAUACAGAGGGUGCGAGCGUUAAUCGGAAUUACUGGGCGUAAAGGGUGCGUAGGUGGUUGAUUAAGUUAGAUGUGAAAUCCCUGGGCUUAACCUAGGAAUUGCAUUUAAAACUGGUUGACUAGAGUGUGGUAGAGGGAAGUGGAAUUUCCGGUGUAGCGGUGAAAUGCGUAGAUAUCGGAAGGAACAUCAGUGGCGAAGGCGACUUCCUGGACCAUUACUGACACUGAGGCACGAAAGCGUGGGGAGCGAACAGGAUUAGAUACCCCUGUAGUCC